UCGGCUUAGAGUUUGAUCCUGGCUCAGAUUGAACGCUGGCGGCAGGCUUAACACAUGCAAGUCGAACGGUAAAGUAGCUUGCUACUUACGAGUGGCGGACGGGUGAGUAACGUAUGGGAAUUUACCGAAUGGAGGGGGACAACAGUUGGAAACGGCUGCUAAUGCCGCAUAACGUCGAGAGACCAAAGGGUUUCGACUUGCCAUUUGAUGAGCCCAUAUGAGAUUAGCUAGUUGGUGUGGUAAUGGCUCACCAAGGCGACGAUCUCUAGCUGGUUUGAGAGGAUGACCAGCCACACUGGGACUGAGACACGGCCCAUACUCCUACGGGAGGCAGCAGUGGGGAAUAUUGCACA
rnacentral:rRNA from 1 species